rnacentral:sRNA from 1 species
GUGUGUGUGUGUUUGUGUGAUGGAGGUGUGUCACAGCGCACGUAUAGGUAAGUUCUCCACUCUUCUCCAACUCUGAUCACCAUGGUCCUGAGGCGCCUGCUUUACCUGCCGAGCCUCCUCGCCAGCCUGAGACGUUUUAGUCUCUUUCCCUGUGCGUCCGAAGAUGCUGGCGGGUGUUUUGUCUGCCCUUCCUCUCAAGACUGCCCAGCCUGCUUUGACUGUUGGAUGGCUGGGAACCAAGAUCUGGGCGGCUGUUGCUGGAAGCUAAUAAAGAGAAAGUGCUACAGGAAUAUGGAGCCCAGACCCCUGCACCGGAGUCAGACAAGGUUUCUCUGCAUGGCC